rnacentral:rRNA from 2 species
GGAUCCAGACUUUGAUUAUGGCUCAGGAUGAACGCUAGCUACAGGCUUAACACAUGCAGGUCGAGGGGAAACGAUAUUGGAAGCUUGCUUCCGAUAGGCGUCGACCGGCGCACGGGUGAGUAACGCGUAUCCAACCCGCCCACCACUUGGGGAUAACCUUGCGAAAGUAAGACUAAUACCCAAUGAUAUCUCUAGAAGACAUCUGAAAGGGAUUAAAGAUUUAUCGGUGAUGAAUGGGGAUGCGUCUGAUUAGCCUGUUGGCGGGGUAACGGCCCACCAAGGCGACGAUCAGUAGGGGUUCUGAGAGGAAGGUCCCCCACAUUGGAACUGAGACACGGUCCAAACUCCUACGGGAGGCAGCAGUGAGGAAUAUUGGUCAAUGGACGAGAGUCUGAACCAGCCAAGUAGCGUGCAGGAUGACGGCCCUAUGGGUCGUAAACUGCUUUUAUAAGGGAAUAAAGUGAGCUACGUGUAGCUUUUUGCAUGUACCUUAUGAAUAAGGACCGGCUAAUUCCGUGCCAGCAGCCGCGGUAAUACGGAAGGUCCGGGCGUUAUCCGGAUUUAUUGGGUUUAAAGGGAGCGUAGGCCGGAGAUUAAGCGUGUUGUGAAAUGUAGAUGCUCAACAUCUGCACUGCAGCGCGAACUGGUUUCCUUGAGUACGCACAAAGUGGGCGGAAUUCGUGGUGUAGCGGUGAAAUGCUUAGAUAUCACGAAGAACUCCGAUUGCGAAGGCAGCUCACUGGAGCGCAACUGACGCUGAAGCUCGAAAGUGCGGGUAUCGAACAGGAUUAGAUACCCUGGUAGUCCGCACGGUAAACGAUGGAUGCCCGCUGUUGGUCUGAAUAGGUCAGCGGCCAAGCGAAAGCAUUAAGCAUCCCACCUGGGGAGUACGCCGGCAACGGUGCAACUCAAAUGAAUUGACGG